rnacentral:rRNA from 1 species
UACGUAGGGACCAAGCGUUGUUCGGAUUUACUGGGCGUAAAGGGCGCGUAGGCGGCUUGACAAGUCACUUGUGAAAUCUCCGGGCUUAACUCGGAACGGCCAAGUGAAACUGUCAUGCUAGAGUGCAGAAGGGGCAAUCGGAAUUCUUGGUGUAGCGGUGAAAUGCGCAGAUAUCAGGAAGAACACCCGUGGCGAAGGCGGCUCUCUGGGACGGUACUGACGCUGAGACGCGAAAAGCGUGGGGAGCGAACAGG